AUUGAACGCUGGCGGCAUGCUUUACACAUGCAAGUCGAACGGUAACAGGCCUCCGGGUGCUGAUGCGCGGCGGACGGGCGGGUAAUGCAUCGGUACGUACCCAGCGGUGGGGGUUAAGGCAACGACAGCUGUGCUCGUCCCGCAUGUGAUCUGAGCAUGAGAGCGGGGGAGCGAGCAGCAAUGUUUCGCCUCGCGCCUUUGGAGCGGCCGAUGUCGGAGUAGCUGGUGGGUGGGGUAAAGGCCUACGUAGGCGACGAUCCGUAGCUGGUCGGAGAGGACGAUCAGCCACACGAGAACGGAGACACGCACCAGACUCCUGCGGGAGGGAGCAGUGGGGAAUGGUGGACAAUGGGCGCAAGUCUGACCCAGCAAGGCCGCGUGUGGGAAGAAGGCCUUCGGGUUGUAAAGCGCUUUUUGCAGGAAUGAAACGGUUUCCGCUAAGACCGGGCGUUAGUGACGGUACCUGCAGAAGAAGCACCGGCUAACUACGUG
rnacentral:rRNA from 1 species